rnacentral:rRNA from 1 species
AGCGCAGCUACCAUGCAGUCGAACGAGACCUUCCGGUCUAGUGGCGCGGGGUGCUGACGCAUGGGAAUCUGCCUUUGGGUUCGGAAUAACUGGGAGAAGUUACUGCUAAGACCGGAUGAUGUCUUCGGACCAAAUAUUUAUCGCCCAAAGAUGAACCCGCGUAAGAUUAGCUCUUUGGUGAGAUAAAGGCUCUCCUGGGCGACAAUCUUUACCUGGUCUGAAAGGAUGAUCGGCCACACUGGAACAGAGACCCCGCCCAGACUCCUACGGGAGGCAGACUCGGGGAAUAUUGGACAAUGGGCAAAUUCCUGAUCCGGCAAUGCCCCGUGAGUGAUGAAGGCCUUAGGGUUGUAAAGCUCUUUUACCUGGGAUGAUCAUGACUCUACCUGGAAAAUAAGCUCCGGCUAAAUCCAUGCCAGCAGCCGCGGUAAUACCGAGGGAGCUAGCGUUGUUCGGAAUUACUGGGCGUAAAGCGAACGUAUGCGGCUAUUCAAGUCGUAGGUGAAUUCCCGGGGCUCAUGCCCGGAACUGCCUUUGAAACUAGAUCCCUUGAAUCUUGGAGAGGCGAGUGGAAUUCCGAGUGUAGAAGUGAAAUUCCUAUAUAUUCGGAAAAACACCAGAGGCGAAGGCGACUCCCUGGACAAAUAUUGACCCUCAGGUGCGAAAGCGUGGGGAGCAAACAAGAUUAAAUACCCUGGUAGUCCACACAUACCACUAUGAUCACUAGCUGUCCGGGUUCAUGGAACUUGUUGUGGCGCAGCUAACGCAUUAAGUUAUCCGCCUGGCGAGUACGGUCGCAAGAUUAAAACUCACUCGAAUUGACGGGAGUCUGCACAAUCGGUGGAGCACGUGGUUUAAUUCGAAGCAUGUGGCAUAAUCCUACCAGAGUUUGACAUGGCUACCAUAUUUUCCAGAGAUGGAUUAUUUCUGUUCGGCUGGCUAGCACACUGGUGCUGCGUGGCUGUCGUCUGCUCGUGUCGCGAGACGUUGGGAUGUAGUCCCACAUCGCAGCGCAACCGUCAUCCUUUAGUUGUCCAUCAUUCAAGUAGGGCACUCUAAAGAGACUGCAGUGAUAGGCAGAAGGAUGUGAAGAAUGACGUCCAGGUCAUCAUGCCUUAACGCUGGGCUACCACGUGCUACCAUGUCGGGUGAACGAAUUGGAGCAUAUGC